rnacentral:RNase_P_RNA from 1 species
GAAGUAAACCGGGUGAUCGCUGUUCCGGCUUUUAGUCGGGAGAGAGGAAAGUCCGGGCUCCACAGAGCAGGAUACUCCGUAACGCGGAGUGGGGGUGACCUCAAGGAAAGUGCAACAGAAAGGACACAGCCUACCCGUUAGAAGUGCAAACUUUUAGCGGCGGCAAUGGUGAAACGGUGAGGUAAGAGCUCACCAGUACCGCCGGUGACGGUGGUAGCUUGGCAAACCCUAUCCGGAGCAAGAUCAAAUAGGAAAGUG